rfam:Gossypium hirsutum cultivar TM-1 chromosome 4, whole genome shotgun sequence
AAUUCAUGGUAAGGGCACCUUCUCAAUAAGUCCUUAUACCUAUCCCAUGCAUCAUAUAGGGUUUCCCAAUCCAUCUGUACAAAAGAAGAGAUAUCAUUCCUUAGCUU